rnacentral:rRNA from 1 species
AACGAACGCUGGCGGCAUGCCUAACACAUGCAAGUCGAACGAGACCUUCGGGUCUAGUGGCGCAUGGGUGCGUAACGCGUGGGAACCUGCCCUUAGGUUCGGAAUAACUCCCCGAAAGGGGUGCUAAUACCGGAUAAUGUCUUCGGACCAAAGAUUUAUCGCCUUUGGAUGGGCCCGCGUUGGAUUAGCUGGUUGGUAGGGUAAAAGCCUACCAAGGCGACGAUCCAUAGCUGGUCUGAGAGGAUGAUCAGCCACACUGGGACUGAGACACGGCCCAGACUCCUACGGGAGGCAGCAGUGGGGAAUAUUGGACAAUGGGCGAAAGCCUGAUCCAGCAAUGCCGCGUGAGUGAUGAAGGCCUUAGGGUUGUAAAGCUCUUUUACCCGGGAUGAUAAUGACAGUACCGGGAGAAUAAGCUCCGGCUAACUCCGUG